rnacentral:rRNA from 1 species
UACGUAGGUGGCAAGCAUUGUCCGGAUUUACUGGGCGUAAAGAGCGCGCAGGCGGUCGUUCAAGUCGCGUGUGAAAGCCCCCGGCUCAACUGGGGAGGGUCACGCGAUACUGAUCGACUCGAAGGCAGGAGAGGGUAGUGGAAUUCCCGGUGUAGUGGUGAAAUGCGUAGAUAUCGGGAGGAACACCAGUGGCGAAGGCGGGUUGCUGGGCCGACACUGACGCUGAGGCGCGAAAGCUAGGGGAGCGAACGGG